CCUACGGGUGGCAGCAGUGGGGAAUAUUGCACAAUGGGGGAAACCCUGAUGCAGCGACGCCGCGUGAGUGAAGAAGUAUUUCGGUAUUUAAAGCUCUAUCAGCAGGGAAGAAAAUGACGGUACCUGACUAAGAAGCCCCGGCUAACUACGUGCCAGCAGCCGCGGUAAUACGUAGGGAGCAAGCGUUAUCCGGAUUUAUCGGGGGUAAAGGGGGCGUAGGUGGCAUGUUAAGCUAGAAGGGAAAACCCAGGGCUCACCUCUUUGGAUUGCCUUUGAAACUAGCGAGCUAGAGUGCUGGAGAGGUAUGCGGAAUUCCUGGUGUAGCGGUGAAAUGCGUAGAUAUUAGGAGGAACACCGGUGGCGAAGGCGGCUUACUGGACAGAAACUGACGCUGAGGCUCGAAAGCGUGGGGAGCAAACAGGAUUAGAUACCCGAGUAGUC
rnacentral:rRNA from 1 species